rnacentral:rRNA from 1 species
GACGAACGCUGGCGGCGUGCUUAACACAUGCAAGUCGAACGCUGAAGCUCAGCUUGCUGGGUGGAUGAGUGGCGAACGGGUGAGUAACACGUGAGUAACCUGCCCUCUUCUUUGGGAUAACGCCCGGAAACGGGUGCUAAUACUGGAUAUUCACUGAUUCUCGCAUGGGGGUUGGUGGAAAGGUUUUUUGUGGUGGGGGAUGGGCUCGCGGCCUAUCAGCUUGUUGGUGGGGUGAUGGCCUACCAAGGCUUUGACGGGUAGCCGGCCUGAGAGGGUGACCGGUCACAUUGGGACUGAGAUACGGCCCAGACUCCUACGGGAGGCAGCAGUGGGGAAUAUUGCACAAUGGGCGAAAGCCUGAUGCAGCGACGCCGCGUGAGGGAUGGAGGCCUUCGGGUUGUAAACCUCUUUCGCUCAUGGUCAAGCCGCAGCUUGGGGUUGUGGUGAGGGUAGUGGGUAAAGAAGCGCCGGCUAACUACGUG